rnacentral:misc_RNA from 1 species
GAAGUGCGAUAAGUGUCAUGACUUGCAGAUCCCCGAGAGCUGACAAAUUUCUGAAUGCAAAUGGCGGCCAACUUCCGUUGGUCAUGUAUUGCAGAGUGUAGUUGUUCAUACUCAUCAUCCUCUUGAUCUCAACAAUCCGGAGGGAUCUGCGCUUGUUGGUGAAAUCCGCCAUGCGAGCGUGAAAAGUCAGAGUGGAUGCCUGAUCUCCCAGCGAGAGAAGGUAUCCAACUUCGGAGUUACUUAGAAGUUGACGAUACUCUGUGAGAAGCUGUCUGUAACACGGCGGUCUCUCUCAUUUUCCGAUUCACCUCUGCAAUGCAGGAAAACCCGCUGAACUUAA